CCUACGGGAGACAGCAGUGGGGGAUAUUGCACAAUGGGGGGAACCCUGAUGCAGCGACGCCGCGUGGGUGAAGAAGCGCCUCGGCGCGUAAAGCCCUGUCAGCAGGGAAGAAAAUGACGGUACCUGAAGAAGAAGCCCCGGCUAACUACGUGCCAGCAGCCGCGGUCAUACGUAGGGGGCAAGCGUUAUCCGGAUUUACUGGGUGUAAAGGGGGCGCAGACGGCGAUGCAAGCCAGGAGUGAAAGCCCGGGGCCCAACCCCGGGACUGCUCUUGGAACUGCGUGGCUGGAGUGCAGGAGGGGCAGGCGGAAUUCCUGGUGUAGCGGUGAAAUGCGUAGAUAGCAGGAGGAACACCGGUGGCGAAGGCGGCCUGCUGGACUGCAACUGACGUUGAGGCCCGAAAGCGUGGGGAGCAAACAGGAUUAGAUACCCUUGUAGUC
rnacentral:rRNA from 1 species